rnacentral:lncRNA from 1 species
AGGGGAACAGAAGGUUCUGUUCAGAGCUAGCACGUGCACGUCACGUGCCUGGGGGCCCACUGCUCAGUGACUUGCAGAACUCAUAAAAUUUUGUAGAGGAUUGGGGAUUUGGGAUCUGUAGUUGUAAUGUAAUCUGUGUCCCUUUCCCGUAAUAACUGCACGAGCAGAGCUUAAAGGCUCCACCAACACUGACAGGAUGACGCUCCGUUUCAAACUUUUUAGUCUUCUUAAUUUAACAGGCAGUAGUCGAGUUCAGAUAGAUGUUUAAUCAUCGUGCGAGGAUUUUCUCAGGGACCAAAUAUGCUGCUGGUGCUGGUAGAGGUUCCAGGCGUGAGGCGGUGACACUGCAUUUGCUUUCGUUCUCUGUGAAGCCGAACUUUAUUCCUUCAGGCAAUCAGGCACGGGAGUGAUUACAUCGCACAGAGCAGGGGCAGCAGACCAGAGAGGCAGAGAGCUUCAUCACGCGAAUGGCAGAUCACUCAAGUUGGUUGAGAAAUCCCUGUAUGCAGCAGGGCGGUGCUUCUCCAUCACGGGAACUUGAGCUGGGCUCAAUGCGAAGACUGCAACACUGAAUCACUGAUCCCACAAUUCAUCAGACCAGAGCUUAGAGGUACCACAGCUUGUAGUUGUAGAGACCACCCCAGUCUUCAUUGCUUUUUUUUUUAUAAAGGGUCUUCAUUGUUUGUUGAUGAAACUAUACCACUUCAAAUACUGCACAGUGCUGAAUUCAGACUCUGUACAACAAGGUGCAGUUGAUGAAAUAGCUGCUACUCAGAGUGAACUGCACUUUGCGAUCAGCAUCAACGCUCCAAGGGCCCAUUUAUAAUGCUAAUUUCUGGGAGGCCACUGCUAACAAUGCUGAUUGAUGGACUAUUUUUUCUGAAACCCGGCAGAGGGAUCAUACUAAUAACAGAAGUAUGAGUGCCUCUGCUCCCAAUGCAGCAGAGCUGAACGAUGGAAUCGAGGGGACUAGAAGAUAGCAACCAGCUAUAGCUAUAGGUGGCUGGCCCGUCAGGACAAUAUUUGCAGACCAGCACCGGAUUGUAUUACAAGAAGAAGAACAUCCUAAUUACAGGAAGAUCAGGACAUCAAAUCGAGUCGUCAAGGCAAGGGCUCCUCUGAAUCUCCCAGCCGUGACAAAUGGAGGUAAGCAUCAGUACCUACAACAACGAAACAAUACUGCUGUAGCACAUGAACUGCGGAUAAACAUGGUUAAUUCGUGCUGACUGAAUAUGAGUCGACCAAGUGGAGUAUGACCAUACCAUAUCCUUCCAUAGAGAUGAUUUGCAAGUCGCCACCAAAGUACUGAGCAUAAAGGCGGCUGAUUGGGAGCCCGAAACCAUAUCCGGCCAUAGUUGCUCCUUCAUUAGGUCCAUCUAGAUCAGGUGGAUUCUUUGCAGUGGUAUACAGAUAUGUGAAAAUUUUUGGGAGGCCACUUCUCGCUAUCCCACCACCUUCAUCACUAACCUGCAUUAGCAAAGCGUUCAAGCUUAAACAUCACAUUGUGAACAUCAUAUUUAGUUUUCCAUAUGCAGAAAUACGUAUUGCCUUGGUCCACAAACAAGUUUAGAAAAAAAAUAGCUGUCACAUAAAAGAGAAUUAUAUCUAGCACUUGACUUUGUAUAAGUUACAAUUAAGUUGAUUGGUAUAUUAUUGCACUUUGCAUUAAAUUUCAGCGAAAUGCCAGUGGAAGUUCCAUCAAUUUUAGAUAAGUUUACAGGUUUCUAUGAAGUUGCUAAAUAUAGUAUUGCAAUGAAAAAUAUCCUGAAAUUUACUAAUUUUCCAGACUAGCUUUCAUCAGUAAAUAGCUGUACCAACAGUUCAUGCAUGAUAGGUGAUGUCAGACUACUACCUUGAUAGUAACAUCCUCUUCUCCAUCAGCAACUAUAAUUCUAACUGGGGGAACAUCUUUAUCAGAAUUCAUAUAUCGUUCUUGCACUGCACGAAGGGAGUUCUUCACCAAUUCAAAUAACAUCAGAUGUAGGUGUAAUGCCACAU